AUUGAACGCUGGCGGCAUGCCUAACACAUGCAAGUCGAACGGCAGCACAGUCUAGCUUGCUAGACGGGUGGCGAGUGGCGAACGGGUGAGUAACACGUGAGCAAUCUGCCCUGGACUCUGGGAUAAGCGUUGGAAACGACGUCUAAUACCGGAUACGAGGCGUGGGGGCAUCCCCAACGCCUGGAAAGAACUUCGGUCCAGGAUGAGCUCGCGGCCUAUCAGCUAGUUGGUGAGGUAACGGCUCACCAAGGCGACGACGGGUAGCCGGCCUGGGAGGGUGACCGGCCACACUGGGACUGAGAUACGGCCCAGACUCCUACGGGAGGCAGCAGUGGGGGUUAUUGCACAAUGGGCGCAAGCCUGAUGCAGCGACGCCGCGUGAGGGAUGACGGCUUUCGGGUUGUAAACCUCUUUUACUAUUGAACAAGGCGCCAUAUUGGUGGUGUUGAGGGUAGGUGGUGAAUAAGCGCCGGCUAACUACGUGCCAGCAGCCGCGGUAAAAC
rnacentral:rRNA from 1 species